GAUGAACGCUGGCGGCGUGCCUAAUACAUGCAAGUCGAGCGAACGGACGAGAAGCUUGCUUCUCUGAUGUUAGCGGCAGACGGGUGAGUAACACGUGGAUAACCUACCUAUAAGACUGGGAUAACUUCGGGAAACCGGAGCUAAUCCCGGAUAAUAUUUUGAACCGUAUGGUUCAAAAGUGAAAUACGGUCUUGCUGUCACUUAUAGAUGGAUCCGCGCUGCAUUAGCUAGUUGGUAAGGUAACGGCUUACCAAGGCAACGAUGCAUAGCCGACGUGAGAGGGUGGUCGGCGACACUGGAGCGGAGACACCGUCACGAAUCCUACGGGACGCAGCAGUAGGGAAUCGGCGGCAAAAGGCGGAAGCCUUACAGAGCAACGCCGAGUGAGAGAUGAAGGUCUUCGGAUCGUAAUGAUCUGUUAUUAGGUAAGAACAUAUGUGUAAGGAACUGUACAGAUCGUGACGGUACCUAAUCAAAAAGCCCCGGCUAACUACGUG
rnacentral:rRNA from 1 species